UACGUUUGUUCCACGGUAUAUGCGACAAAUUUCCGGCUAAAUUUAAAUGUUUUGAAAAAAUACCGGAAUGGAGCCGGAUCCAUCCGAGUGUCAUGAAACGGUGAAUUGCGAACGUGAAAUUCGGCAUUCGGACAUCGGAGCGUCUCGUACGUAGAUCCUUCUUUUCCGAAGCAACGGCAGUAUGGCCGCAGCUGCCGAAGCGACGUCGUCGGGAGCGACAUCGAUGGCUAUCGCGUACAUCCUUGGAGAGGAGGAAGAACAAGCUGAAGAGGAGAGAGAGAAAGAUGGAGAUACAUUGAGAUUUAUGCUUGACAGGCAUCAAGUUUGCCUAGUUCUUCGCGAUACGGUUCAACUUUCAACUACUGUACGCACGUUGUGCUGAAAAAUUCAUCUACAG
rnacentral:misc_RNA from 1 species